rnacentral:rRNA from 1 species
UCCGUAGGCGGAUUGAUAAGUCAGAGGUGAAAUCCCACAGCUUAACUGUGGAACUGCCUUUGAAACUGUUAGUCUUGAGUUAUAUGGAAGUAGAUAGAAUGUGUAGUGUAGCGGUGAAAUGCAUAGAGAUUACACAGAAUACCGAUUGCGAAGGCAGUCUACUACGUAUAUACUGACGCUAAUGGACGAGAGCGUGGGGAGCGAACAGGAUUAGAUACCCUGGUAGUCC